rnacentral:rRNA from 1 species
GCGAAUACCGGAGAAUGUUAUCACGGGAGACACACGGCGGGUGCUAACGUCCGUCGUGAAGAGGGAAACAACCCAGACCGCCAGCUAAGGUCCCAAAGUCAUGGUUAAGUGGGAAACGAUGUGGGAAGGCCCAGACAGCCAGGAUGUUGGCUUAGAAGCAGCCAUCAUUUAAAGAAAGCGUAAUAGCUCACUGGUCGAGUCGGCCUGCGCGGAAGAUGUAACGGGGCUAAACCAUGCACCGAAGCUGCGGCAGCGAACGUAUCACCCAAGACAACUUUGCGGAGUUGACGAUUGACGGAGCGAAGCGACGUCAAAGCGUUCAUUAAAGUCGAGUUGGCUUAGGGAUACGUUCGUUGGGUAGGGGAGCGUUCUGUAAGCCUGUGAAGGUGUGCUGUGAGGCAUGCUGGAGGUAUCAGAAGUGCGAAUGCUGACAUAAGUAACGAUAAAGCGGGUGAAAAGCCCGCUCGCCGGAAGACCAAGGGUUCCUGUCCAACGUUAAUCGGGGCAGGGUGAGUCGACCCCUAAGGCGAGGCCGAAAGGCGUAGUCGAUGGGAAACGGGUUAAUAUUCCCGUACUUGGUGUUACUGCGAAGGGGGGACGGAGAAGGCUAUGUUGGCCGGGCGACGGUU